GUCCGGAUGGUGGAAUCUGGUAGACACGCUGCGUUCAGGGCGCAGUGCUCGCAAGAGCAUGCGGGUUCGAGCCCCGCUCCGGACA
rnacentral:tRNA from 1 species